rnacentral:lncRNA from 1 species
AAAGUCACAAGUGGGCGUGGCAGGGCUUUGUUCCUUCUGAAGCUCAGGACAAAGCACUGGGCUUCCCUCCUGCCUGGGAGCCUUCAGGACGGCAUGGAGUUUGGCCACGUGGUGGGAGCGCCCUGAGUGCGUGGCACAGAGUGUUCAACUGGUCACCUCUCCUGAGCCUCACAGCCUCUCAAGGAAGAUCUGAGGAGGAAACUGAGGCCCACCCCCACCCAGACUGAGGGGAAGGACUCACUGCAAGUGGCCUCGGACUCAUCGGAGCCGUCAGGACACUCCUCCUCGCCGUCACACUUCCACCGUUCGUGGAUGCAGUGGCCGUUGUCACAGGUGAAGUCACUGUCUGCACAGGUCUUCUUGGCUGCAGGGCAAGGAAGAGAGCGUGGUGAGCCUGGGAGCAGUCAGGAGGGUGAUGGGCCGACCAGGAUGUGCUUGGUCUGCAAACCAGGCCAUGGACUGCCUUGCUGACCAAGGGCAGAGGACAGGAGAGACAAGCUUCUUCAUUCCUUAGGCAUCUGAACACUGCGUGAAGACAGGUGACAUUCUGCUCUGCCCUCCAAGUCCAAGAGCUCAAAUCCAGCAAGCAUGACAAGAUUUAUCAUACCCCACCACACUCCUGCUUCCCCUCAAUGUCUAGUUCCACUGCCACUGUCCCCAGGAAGCCUUCCCUGAUACCCUACAGCAGCUGCCUUAGCUCCUUCAGCCAGUUCUCAAUCUCUUUACCUGCCUGUCCCACUUUCCCCAACUGGACUGGAAGUCAAAGUCCCUUCUGCAGGCGCCAGGGAGUUUGUGAUCAUGAAUCCUACACAUAGAUGAUUCCUUUGUGGCAAGAUGAAUGACGUAUUUUGUGUUCAGAGCAGUGGGAAGAGGAUCUACUGGGCAAGACACCCAAAUCAGUCCCUGCCCCCCGGUGCCUACAGCCUGCAGGGUGACCUCCACACUGCUCUGGGGAUCUCAAUCCCACUUCCUCCUCCUCCUCCUCCUCCUAUCUGUGUGACCUUGAGGAUGUUCCUUAAUCUCUGAGCCUACAUUUUCUUAUCUAUAUAAUAGGGAGAAGAAGACAAAAGGCGGUGAGGAGGAGCAACAAGAAGUCGUAAUGUAUGAAGAACCUGCAGCAGACUCAGGAACAUGGCAGAUGCUGGAGAAGUGGCAGCUACUGUUGUUUUCAGGGUUUGAGUCUUAAUUAGAAGCUGAAGGAAUGGGGUUCUGUGUCCACACAGGGGAAGUAGCAGGCUGAGAGCUCACAGCUGGUUACGGAGCUGAGAUAAGAAUGCAGGUACCAUCCCCAGCCCGGUUCUUUACUGCCUUCUGUGUGUUGUCCUACGAGGAACUAGAGUUUCCAGAUCAAUGAGAGGAAACAGAGAUGGAUGCCCAUGUCAUAAGGUGCCCCAGCUUCUUCCCAAGCA